CAGCCUCUGUUGAGACAUUCAGCCUAACUUUAACCUCAAAGGCAGUAAAGAUAUUACACUAUGGGACUCUGAAGGCAGAAAACGUUUUUAUUAGAUGUCAAAAUUGAAGUUGAACUAUUUCGAACCUAAAACCUCUAAUAGAAAUUAUCAAGUAAAUCAUGAAUUUGAAAAUGUGCCACUUUUACAACGAUUACAUUGUACCAUGGCAACAAAUAGAAAAAAAAAAAAAACACUAUACUAUAUUUAAAGAAAAUUGAUUUCAGAAAACAAACUAAAGAAGUCUUUAUAGAUUUGAUUGCAGAAGGGUUUCAUUUCUUAUUAAAACUUCUCUAGUUAAAGGAAAUUCAAUAAUGUAUCCUGGGAAUUAGUGUUUGCUGGCAAAACGCUCCUGUAUCGGUUCCAGUACCCUGAGUUUUAGACAUAAAAGACGGCUGCAUCCACUUUUUGGCACAAAGUCCUCAGCAGUGACGGCUCGACCUCAGGAAACCAACAGAGUGUUGUGACUUUGCAGCUUGGUCUAAUAGUGAAAACACUUCCUGUUUUUGUCCCAGAGCUCAGCCAAUCAUAACCCAUCUAACUUCCCUGAGUGUGUGUGUGUGUCUCUAUGCUGACAGACUAAUGAUGUUUGGUUUGUUUCUAACACACACAUACACACAUAUACACACACACUCAAACACUAGGGAGCAUCGUGUGUGGCUGCUGGAGCCAAUAAGCCGGUCAAGGAGCAGCAUGUUAACCUGAGCAUCAGGUUCACUAACUCUUAGUCUGGUUGUUUACGAUGCUAUACCUCUGUAAUAUUGUGCUGUUGAGGUAUUAAAGGAAUACUCCAACUAGCCUAGUUUUGGACGUACAGAGGCGAAAAUGCUAUUGAACAUCUUGUCUCAGUCUGGGAAAGUCGGAAAAAGGGUAUUUUGCC